ensembl:lncRNA
AUGGACAAGCCGGCUGUGGGGCCCUGGGCAAGGAACACGCCAAGAAGCUGCGCCCAGGGAGAUUUUGCUGCCUGUGCUGAUACCAGGACACGUCCUGCGUUCCUUAUGCCAGCGACUAAGCCUCACCGCGGCUGUAGUGCUUUCACCCCACCAGAGGCUCUGUGCGCUCUCCGGCUGAUGCGGCCGGGCCGGGCCCGGGGCCGGGUGCCCGAGGCCGCGGCGGGGCCGGGCGGGGCGGGGAGGCCCCGCAGCCGGUUCCCUUUUUGCCCGGCGUGUGAUUGGCGGCGGCUUCGGAGCUGCCUCUGCCGCCGGCUAUGGAGCCUCCCCGCCGGCCCCGCCGCUUUUCCUCAGCUUCCUACUGAGGGAAACACCUGUCCGGAGCCGGGGCCGGGGCCGCUGCUGCGAGUCAACAUUUUUGCAUGAUAUCUACUACCAGUGUAGGAUUUGUACUGCUUGAUGCUCUUCAAAAGGUUAGUAUUUCACUGGAAAAGUCAUAAAGGAAAGGGAUGAAAUUAGAGGGGUGUAUGUCUUUUCUUUCUGUUUUGAACAUGUUUUCCCUAAUUUUUUUUUCCUGUGGGGAUAAUAUUUUUAGUAAAAGAAUAGCACCUGAAGUUGUAGAUAACCACAAGAAUUAGGGUUGAAAGUCUAUGGUUUAAUUUCUUCCUGAAUCUAAAGUCACCAUUUCUAGUGGAUUUAACUGUAUGUUUGUAACCAUAAAUGAAUGAGUUAAAGAUAUUUUGGGUAAGGCUGCCCAGUAGUUCUGCUGUUGAGGUUACCAUACAAGAUCCUUGGCAUAUACAAUCUGUGAGAUGCCUGUAUGGAGACUGGCUUAAAAAUCUCUAGUAAAUUUAAGUUGGGAUUCCUCAAAUGGCCAUCACUGUACAAAUUAAAAUACUGAAACAUUGCAUAUUUAGUUGUCUUUUAUCUACUAUUUUGUGAGGUAACAGCUCAAAAAUAUAUUUGGUUUAAAUACCUUAUUUGAAUUCAUUAAAUUUAUUUCCCAGAUUAUUCUUUGCUAUUUUUAAAAGGCUCUAAACAUGUCUUCUAUGCAUAUAUGUUAAAUUGAUGUACUGUUGGUGUAUUUUUACUGUUGGUGUAUUUUUACUGUUGUAACAGGAAAAGCAUUCUGACUUCUUUUAAAAUGAGCAAUCAUAUGUAUAAUCAACUUGGUUAAAACUUCCUUCCUGGUAAGUGCAGCACUUCCUUUGCAUCUGGAUAUGAGAGCGAGCAAGAAAAGCAGAACAGCUUAAACAAAGAAAUUUUUUGUGUGAAUGAUCUUUUAAAAUAAUAGGAACUACAAAAUUUAAACAAAUGAGUCAUCUUCAGCAAUUCAGCCUUUGUUUUAUAAGCAGGUAAUAUUUCCUUAUACUUUGUCAAUUAUAGGGGUGGUGUGUCCACAGUUGCUGCUUUCUGGAAGUCAAAAGAAGAAUUUUAGUUAGCAUUCUAUGUUGUUAGAGUUUAAUAUUUUAUAUUUUUAUCUGCUUCUUUUAUUAUCUCCUAAGGCAUCAUUACACUGGCUUUACUUUUCUCCAGCAGUUAAAGAUUUUAUGUGUAGAAAGUGUUGCUUGGAAAAGUUCAGUAUGUUGCUGUAACUUGGCUUGUGUGAGCGCACUCAGUCAGCACUGAAUAAUUUCCGUUUUAAUAUUGGUCAAUGGAGAUUAACUGAGUGUGCUGGUUUUGCAUUAUACGAUAUUUUUUGUUUACUGAAUGCUGAUAAGGUAGGCUACUCAUGUUUAAUAUUGUUUUACUGGUGUUUUAGGUGUGAUUUGAUGUAUAGAGUAAUAAAUCAGCAUCAGCUUGGGUGAUUUUUCUUCUA